UCCAAUGUGGUGUAGUGGCUAACAUUGCUGUCUUUCAUUCAUUCCUUCCUUGUUACACAGCAGCCCGGGGUUCGAUUCCCCGCAUUGGAA